GCGGUCAUAGAUUAGCUGGGAGAUCGUCAGACUGAAGAUCUGAAGGUCGUGUGUUCGAGUCACACUGACCGCA
rnacentral:tRNA from 4 species